rnacentral:rRNA from 1 species
CAGCAGCCGCGGUAAGACAGAGGAUGCAGGCGUUAUCCGGAAUGAUUGGGCGUAAAGCGUCUGUAGGUGGCUUUUCAAGUCCGCCGUCAAAUCCCGGGGCUCAACCCUGGACAGGCGGUGGAAACUACCAAGCUGGAGUACGGUAGGGGCAGAGGGAAUUUCCAGUGGAGCGGUGAAAUGCGUUGAGAUCGAAAAGAACACCAACAGCGAAAGCACUCUGCUGGGACGACACUGACACUAAGAGACGAAAGCUAGGGGAGCAAAUGGGAUUAGAUACCCGCGUAGUCCCUGUCUCUUAUAC